CCACCACGCCUGGCUAAUUUUUUCUAUUUUUUAGUAGAGACGGGGUUUUGCCGUGUUAGCCAGGAUGGUCUUGAUCACCUGACCUCGUGAUCCUCCCGCCUCGACCUCCCAAAGUACUGGAAUUACAGGCGUGAGCCACUGUGCCCAUGAUGAUGCUUAGAAUAAUGAUAUUUAGAAGAAAAACCUCCAUACAUGGGCCUGUGAAUAAAUUAUAGUCACUAUGGAAGCUGCGUCAGGCAGCCCCUACCCAGUAAGCGACCUUCGUGCUGACCUUCAGGUCUGCAGAGCAGUUGCCCCUUCCAUGGGUGUGGCACCAGGCAGAGCAGGGGCAGAAGAGGGGUGUUUCCCACGCACUGUCCCUUCCAGUCCGUCUCAGAGGGGCAUCAAAAUGAGAAAGAGCUUGUGCUCAAGAGUUGAAACCUUACGACUCUGUUGCAGGUUUUUUGUUUCUUUCAUUGCUGGUUUGCCACGCAGCUCAGGGGCCCUUUAGACGGGAGAGAUUGUUGCUCUUCAAGGGAGUGAAGUGAAGAUGGUGCCUUAGAGGUGUUCUGACAGUGCACGGGGAGUCCCGGAGUGACUCCUCCAUGAGUGGAAGGAACUCAGUGACAUUGCCUAUCGAGUGGAGACUUGGUAAGGAAAUUGUUCCCAUUUCUAAGAUGGAGAGUUCUGGACUCUGGACCUUCUAUUAGGAGUUUACAGGCCUGUACUGCCACCUCCCUGGGCCAGAGCUUUUGCAGAUAUUCCUAGAGAACAGGUAAAAGCAAUGAGCUUGGGGUAAGAGCUUAGACCAACUGAAGGCUCUCUGCCUCCCUCCUCCUCUAAGAGGCCUGCCCUGGCUGUGACACCAAAAAGCGCACUCGGGCCUCUGUGCCCAACUCUGCCCUUUCACCAUCUGCCCCUGUCACACCAACGUCAGCAUGAGUUACACAGUUGUGUUGCCCUUUGUGGCUACUCUCCCCACACUUACUAGAAUGUGAGCCCCAUGCGGCAGCGAUCUUCAUCCUUUUUCUUUUCCUCUAUUCCAAGUACCUAGAAUAGUGCCUGGCAAAGGCACUUAGUGCACAAUUAGUGUUUUUUAAAAAAAAAAUGAUAGGAAGCAAGCAGGAGAUACAUAGCAAGUACAAGACAUUUUCAGUGGCUUGCAGUCAAAAGUGUCACUGAGGUCCCCCCAGCUGCCCCUGCCCCGGCUGGCCCAAGGAUGAGAUAGGUGGCUGCUCUGGGGUCAUGUCUUGCUUUAUAGCCUGGCCUGUUGGGUCUCCAGGAGCCUUUUGAGUCUUGCCUGUUUGACAGAGAAGACUGAGGCCCAGAGGACGGAAGGGAUGGGACUGGCACCCAGUGAGCUUUUCCCUUCAUCAAGAUGCUUACACAGGUGAUGUCCAUCAUUCAGCUUGGGUCAGGUGCAGACCAUGCACGUGGUGGUGGUGCGUGCGAUGGACAUGAAGUAGCUGACCCUGUGUAGAGAUGACAUUUCCCAUCGGGUGUGGAACUGGGAGUUCAACCCUUUGGCUUACCACCCUAAUCUGCAUCCACACUAGAGAGUCACACAGCCCAGGUAGUAUUUGGAUUUCAACCCCGGGAAAGAAUAGCAACCUGCCGCUUGGUGGCAGCAUGGGAGCUGGGGUUUAGUGAGGAGGGGAAGCAGUUGUGUAGGCAUCAGCAGUCAUAGCACCAGGCCGAGGCGAGACCCUCCGAGCGGAGUCCGGCUGGUUAAAGGGCCUGCACGGGUCUCUCACAGAAGAAGGAAAGCUGGUCCUGAGGGUGGAGCCAGGGGAAUCUGGGGGCCACUUCAGCAUUCUUUGUUGCCAUUGGCUUUGGUUCAGUAAGCUUUGUUGAUUUAUUUUGUUGUUGUUAUUGUUGUUAGAGUGAUGGGGCUGAUUGCUUAUAAGUUCUGAGGUUCUUAUUUGCGUUUCCAGCUCCCUGGGUAUUCAUUCAUACCUGGUUUCUGGCUGUGGUGAAAUGUCUUCUGACCAAGUGGGUUGAUAAACAGGGGGCUUCGCUGGAGCGGGGGCAGGGGGCGCGGUCACUGAACAGAGAAAAAACUCAACUCAUCCUCAUCUCUGAGGGGACUCUUUCCCCCAGCCAGUGCCUUCUGCAGUUUCCUGCUCUAUCUAUAUUCCACCCACUUAACCCACCUCUAAGAGUUAUUUUAAAACAGCAUUCUAGAACCCAUCUCUCAAGCAAGAGGGAAGUCUCCAAUGGCUCAUCCUGUGCCCCGCCUGCAUCUGCGGGCACCUGCAGUGCCGGGACGCUCACAGCCCGCCCCCAGGACCUGUGGGGGGAGUUCAGCUGCUUCGGCUGCUUCUGCUGCUCCGCGUGCACAUGGGCCUCCUUACCACCCUGGCAGUCUCCUCCUCUUGGAAGUUUUAACUAUUCAAGACUCAAUGGCCAGGCGCGGCGGCUCAUGCCUGUAAUCCCAGCACUUUGGGAAGCUGAGGCAGGAAGAUCACUUGAGGUCAGGAAUCGAGACCAGCCUAGCCAACCUGGUGAAACCCCGUCUCUGCUAAAAAUACAAAAAAUAAUAAUUAGCCAGGCAUAGUGGCAGUGCCUGUAAUUCCAGCUACUCAAGAGGCUGAGGCAGGAGAAUCACUUGAACCUGGGAGGUGGAGGUCGGAGUGAGCUGAGACCACGCCACUGGACUCCAGCCUGGGCGACAGAGCAAAACUCUAUCUCACAAACAAAAACAAGGCCGGGCACAGUGGCUCACGCCUGUAAUCCCAG
rnacentral:lncRNA from 10 species